AUGAGGCUGCUGAGUGAAGCCAGAGGGAGAAUACGCUCAAAGACAAGCAGCUUGUCCAUACGAGGAUUUCAUUACCAUUCUAAAAGUGUUAUCAGACUUCGUUUCCUCCUUCUUCACCAACCUAUGAUCGAUCAGCCUAAUAAAUGCGCUAAGACUCACGCCCUGCUCUCCUGCCCUCCACUGCUCGCCCCGGGCUCUCCGGCCGCCACCGCCUGCCCCGCCCGCGCUUCGCUACCCCAGCCUCCCGCACCAGACGCCGGCUGCUCCUGCGCUCCCACGCCCGCGCACCUCGCUCUCCCAGCCCCGCGCUCCCACACCCGGCGCGGAGGAGGCGGGCGCCCGGGGCGAGGGCAGGGCGGCCACGUCAGCGGCGCCGGCUCGCUCCGCCCUCCGCGGGCCUCCCCAUAGAAGGUAAAGCCUGGGCAGAGCCCGCGGGCGUCCUCAGGCU
rnacentral:lncRNA from 1 species